rnacentral:rRNA from 1 species
GGCGCGAAACCUUUACACUGCACGACAGUGCGAUAAGGGGAUCCCAAGUGCGCGGGCAUACAGUCCUUCGCUUUUGUCCACCGUAAGGUGGUGCACGAAUAAGGGCUGGGCAAGACCGGUGCCAGCCGCCGCGGUAAUACCGGCAGCCCGAGUGAUGGCCGAUGUUAUUGGGCCUAAAGCGUCCGUAGCCGGCCGCACAAGUCCAUCGGGAAAUCCACCCGCUCAACGGGUGGGCGUCCGGUGGAAACUGUGCGGCUUGGGACCGGAAGACCCGACGGGUACGUCCGGGGUAGGAGUGAAAUCCUGUAAUCCUGGACGGACCGCCGAUGGCGAAAGCACCUCGGGAGGACGGAUCCGACAGUGAGGGACGAAAGCUAGGGUCUCGAACCGGAUUAGAUACCCGGGUAGUCCUGGCCGUAAACAAUGCCCGCUAGGUGUGGCUCCCACUACGAGCGGGUGCUGUGCCGUAGGGAAGGCGAUAAGCGGACCGCCUGGGAAGUACGUCCGCAAGGAUGAAACUUAAAGGAAUUG